rnacentral:rRNA from 2 species
UAAGUCAGCCACGAAUAGGCUAUCCCAACUAACGGCGGGAAAGACUCCACGGAGGGUGUAAGACCCGUGUGGGCGCGUGUCAAAGCUGUGCGGGCUCGGCCUCUAUUCCCUGAGAGUCGCGUUGCUUGAGCAUGCAGCGCUAAGCAGGUCGUAAACUCGAUCUAAGGCUAAAUAUCUCCACAGAACCGAUAGCGAACAAGUACCGUGAGGGAAAGUUGAAAAGCACUCUGGAGAGAGAGUCAAAAGACCGUGAAACCGCUCAGAGUAUAAGCCCAUGGCAGCUUGGAAGGCAUAUCGCUAGCGGGGCAUCGGUCUUCCUUCACGGGGAGCUGGUGUUACCUUGCUUCUGUUGUGGCUCGUCAUGGUAGGGGGGUCAAGUCCACAUCCCGCCGUCGUGUGGGGGGUUCUUGGGUGUGUUGUGGUUUCUCGGUUGACUUCGGUUGGCCGAGGGGCCCUUCGUGCUUGGUUCCUCUUUAGACACGGACGUUCAGACUCAAAGGCAAGACGCGAUAAACAGCCCACCACGGCACGUUGUGAGGUCACCCACAGGCUCGACUUUCGAUCGUGAGCCUUGACGCCGAGCAAGCACAAUGCGUGUCGCAAAUGUUCCUAACCAGGCAACGCUGCCAGGACUGUGGAACGACACGCGCUCAACAGUCAGGUUCGGGCGGAGACAGAGUUCUGGUACGAUCCUCUUGCGACGAGCCGGCUUCUGGCCAACAUCCGAUGCUCAGGUCUCCCGCAUGUGCCGCGGGAGAUCGCCUUGACGGUCUGGA